UGUUCAUAGUAUUCUGAUGAAGACCGUUGUUGUGUUUCACUGGCUGAGAGGAAGAACCCUCACAUCUUCCUCUUGGACUUUCUCCUCUGAGAAUCCUGGUGCCAUCUUGAAGGAUAUUCCAGCUCAUGUAACUGAUGUCACGACAGAUUCUCAAACACUUGGUUUCUCCUGAGGGGCGUGUCUAUAGAACUGAAGACUUCAGACAGCACUGUAUCCCAGCACGCAUCUCUGCUCACUCAGACCACACCCUCAUGAGUAGGAUGCAACACUAUAGCGAUGGAGAUGUAGAGUUUUAUAAGUAAAGAUGGAGCAGACAACGGUGAUUCGAACACAAUUGCAAUUUAAGUCUUUAAAUCUUUAAACCAUGAAGAUGGUUGGAUAGUUCAGGAAUUGGGCUUAAUUUUAUUAUGGGCAGUCCUUUCGCUCAAAUGCCCACUUCUCACUGGACCUGUACAUGUGUUGUUUGGCUGGCAUGAUUUGCUGUUGGUAAUGAGGCGGUCAGGGUGACAUUGCUUGGCUAUGGUCGGCUCUCUGUGAGCUCACUGUUUAGAUUUGAUCUGUAUGGUUUGUACCCUGAAUAUCGAUAAUUGUUGUUUUUAAUUUUAAAAUGUAGACAAGGUUUUGUAUUGAAUUAUUCCAUUGUUUUUAAGCAAGGAAUUGAGGUUUAAAGUUGUUGUGGAACGUACAUGGUAGUUCGGUUCUUCGUACGGUUUUGAGUGAUAUAACUUGUACACACUGGGUGCAUAAUAAUGUAAAGGUACACUGAAUAGCAGUAAUGACCAACAGCAACAAACAGAUCACAUCAAGGUAAGUCUGUUGGCUGUGUUUUUAUGAAGACCAUCGCUGGACUUCAGGAUCUUCCUCCGUUCAGCUCAAGCGUUCUACUUGCGGGCCCAUUUCUGAUCAUCAGUGAAGGCUGAAGAUCAUUUCAAGGUGUCUGCCUCCUCACCCAGAGCCAGACCUCCACCUCCUCACCCAGAGCCAGACCUCCACCUCCUCACCCAGAGCCAGACCUCCACCUCCUCACCCAGAGCCAGACCUCCACCUCCUCACCCAGAGCCAGACCUCCACCUCCUCACCCAGAGCCAGACCUCCACCUCCUCACCCAGAGCCAGACCUCCACCUCCUGUCAGAAGUCCUCCAGAACAGCUGAAAGGCGAGGCUGAGAGGCUGGGGACCGGCUUGUGGUGCCAGGAUGGACCGGAGACUGAGGCUGGAGACCAGGGGCCUGCAGCACCGGACCAGAGGGUAACCAUCACCAAGCUCAUCUGAAACACUAAAAUCCUCAGUAGUUUAGGUCUGGUUUUGAUCAUCUUAAGACUUUAAAUCUGUGCCACGCUGUGAUUUGAGUUAAUUCAUACCGGGGUUAUGUAGAAGUCAUAUGAGCCAUUAUUGUUAGAGUGCUGCUACGACCGUAGUGGAUGAAUUGCUGAAUGGGUCAAUCUGUAGACGUUGUCUAAUUCAAGUGUUUAAAUAUGUUUAAAUUCGUCUUCCAUUUUACAAGUGAACCUCAGAUGCAGGAGGUGGGGUGUGUUGCCAUUCCAGGUGAUUUACUGCUGAGACCAACUGUUUGUAACCAGACCAGGAAUCCAUGGCUGAAGGAGCUCAUGGAGGAGCCGUGCUGAAGGCCCUGCCUGUUGGAGGAGCUGAUGGAGGCCCUGCCUGAUGGAGGAGCUGAUGGAGGCCCUGCCUGAUGGAGGAGCUGAUGGAGGCCCUGCCUGGUGGAGGAGCCGAUGGAGGCCCUGCCUGGUGGAGGAGCCGAUGGAGGGCCUGCCUGGUGGAGGAACCGAUGGAGGCCCUGCCUGGUGGAGGAACCGAUGGAGGCCCUGCCUGGUGGAGGAGCUGAUGGAGGCCCUGCCUGGUGGAGGAUUUCUGUCGUUGGGUAGAUGGAGCCCGACUCUGAAACCAUGAAUCUGUCUGAAGAGAGCUGGUGGGGGAGCUGAGAAGCUGUAAGACGAUUAGGAAUUGACAACAAGGAUUCCUCACCAGGACUCUGGCUGAGGAGUGCUGAUAGAGGAGCCAAGACUCUGGAGGACGACAUCACUCUAUCAACAAGGAUCCAAACCAGGAAUCUGGAGGACUGACGGAGAAGCCAUACCUCUGGAAGGCAAAUCCUGAGGACGACCAGGACUCUACCAUCAAGGAUUCCUCACACACCUGAGCUGAACCUCACCUGAUCCUGUUUGGUCGGGGUCAGACUCAUCUGAGCUGAACCCCACCUGAUCCUGCUGGUCCCGUCUCCUCAGUUCAUCUUAGCCUCGUCUUCCAGAAGACCUGCUGAACUCAGCAGUCUGAUCCUGAUGGAUCAAUGACCUCCAGUGGGAGUGAUCUUCUUGACCACACAAGUACCCGUGUGCUUCCACACGUCUUACCCUCACGUCUGUCACUAACCUCACUACUUCACUAAUCUCUACUCCUUACCUUCUUCUUCCUUCUCCGUGGUUCGAACCUUUACUCUGAAGGAGUGUCUUCUUGAACCUUUACACUGAAGGACCGUCUUCCUGCCCUCAGAGGGUUUAGAGUCAGG
ensembl:lncRNA